rnacentral:rRNA from 1 species
GAACGCUUCUUUUUCCACCGGAGCUUGCUCCACCGGAAAAAGAGGAGUGGCGAACGGGUGAGUAACACGUGGGUAACCUGCCCAUCAGAAGGGGAUAACACUUGGAAACAGGUGCUAAUACCGUAUAACAAUCGAAACCGCAUGGUUUUGAUUUGAAAGGCGCUUUCGGGUGUCGCUGAUGGAUGGACCCGCGGUGCAUUAGCUAGUUGGUGAGGUAACGGCUCACCAAGGCGACGAUGCAUAGCCGACCUGAGAGGGUGAUCGGCCACAUUGGGACUGAGACACGGCCCAAACUCCUACGGGAGGCAGCAGUAGGGAAUCUUCGGCAAUGGACGAAAGUCUGACCGAGCAACGCCGCGUGAGUGAAGAAGGUUUUCGGAUCGUAAAACUCUGUUGUUAGAGAAGAACAAGGAUGAGAGUAACUGUUCAUCCCUUGACGGUAUCUAACCAGAAAGCCACGGCUAACUACGUGCCAGCAGCCGCGGUAAUACGUAGGUGGCAAGCGUUGUCCGGAUUUAUUGGGCGUAAAGCGAGCGCAGGCGGUUUCUUAAGUCUGAUGUGAAAGCCCCCGGCUCAACCGGGGAGGGUCAUUGGAAACUGGGAGACUUGAGUGCAGAAGAGGAGAGUGGAAUUCCAUGUGUAGCGGUGAAAUGCGUAGAUAUAUGGAGGAACACCAGUGGCGAAGGCGGCUCUCUGGUCUGUAACUGACGCUGAGGCUCGAAAGCGUGGGGAGCAAACGGNAAUUAGAUACCCUGGUAGUCCACGCCGUAAACGAUGAGUGGCUAAGUGUUGGAGGGUUUCCGCCCUUCAGUGCUGCAGCUAACGCAUUAAGCACUCCGCCUGGGGAGUACGACCGCAAGGUUGAAACUCAAAGGAAUUGACGGGGGCCCGCACAAGCGGUGGAGCAUGUGGUUUAAUUCGAAGCAACGCGAAGAACCUUACCAGGUCUUGACAUCCUUUGACCACUCUAGAGAUAGAGCUUCCCCUUCGGGGGCAA